ensembl:snRNA U6 U6 spliceosomal RNA
GUGCUCACUUUGGCAGCACAUAAAAUAAAAUUGGAAUGAUACAGAGAAGAUUAAUGAAGCUCUUGUGCAAGGAUGACAUGAAGAUUUGUGAAGCAAAUGAAAAAACC